rnacentral:rRNA from 1 species
GACGAACGCUGGCGGCGUGCUUAACACAUGCAAGUCGAACGGAAAGGCCCUGCUUUUGUGGGGUGCUCGAGUGGCGAACGGGUGAGUAACACGUGAGUAACCUGCCCUUGACUUUGGGAUAACUUCAGGAAACUGGGGCUAAUACCGGAUAGGAGCUCCUGCUGCAUGGUGGGGGUUGGAAAGUUUCGGCGGUUGGGGAUGGACUCGCGGCUUAUCAGCUUGUUGGUGGGGUAGUGGCUUACCAAGGCUUUGACGGGUAGCCGGCCUGAGAGGGUGACCGGCCACAUUGGGACUGAGAUACGGCCCAGACUCCUACGGGAGGCAGCAGUGGGGAAUAUUGCACAAUGGGCGGAAGCCUGAUGCAGCAAAGCCGCGUGCGGGAUGACGGCCUUCGGGUUGUAAACCGUUUUCGCCUGUGACGAAGCGUGAGUGACGGUAAUGGGUAAAGAAGCACCGGCUAACUACGUG